UGGGGAAUAUUGCACAAUGGGCGAAAGCCUGAUGCAGCAACGCCGCGUGAGGGACGACGGCCUUCGGGUUGUAAACCUCUUUUAGCAAGGAAGAAGCGAAAGUGACGGUACUUGCAGAAAAAGCGCCGGCUAACUACGUGCCAGCAGCCGCGGUAAUACGUAGGGCGCAAGCGUUAUCCGGAAUUAUUGGGCGUAAAGAGCUCGUAGGCGGUUUGUCGCGUCUGCUGUGAAAACCCGAGGCUCAACCUCGGGCCUGCAGUGGGUACGGGCAGACUAGAGUGCGGUAGGGGAGAUUGGAACUCCUGGUGUAGCGGUGGAAUGCGCAGAUAUUAGGAAGAACACCGAUGGCGAAGGCAGAUCUCUGGGCCGUAACUGACGCUGAGGAGCGAAAGGGUGGGGAGCAAACAGGCUUAGAUACCCUGGUAGUCCACCCCGUAAACGUUGGGAACUAGUUGUGGGUCCAUUCCACGGAUUCCGUGACGCAGCUAACGCAUUAAGUUCCCCGCCUGGGGAGUACGGCCGCAAGGCUAAAACUC
rnacentral:rRNA from 1 species